rnacentral:rRNA from 1 species
GACGAACGCUGGCGGCGUGCUUAACACAUGCAAGUCGAGCGGUAAGGCCCUUCGGGUACACGAGCGGCGAACGGGUGAGUAACACGUGGGUGACCUGCCUCUAGCUCUGGGAUAAGCCUGGGAAACUGGGUCUAAUACCGGAUAUGACUCCACGGCGCAUGUUGUGGGGUGAAAGCCUUGUGUGGCUAGAGAUGGGCCCGCGGCCUAUCAGCUUGUGGUGGGGUNAUGGCCUACAGCGACGACGGUAGCCGGCCUGAGAGGGCGACCGGCCACACUGGGACUGAGACACGGCCCAGACUCCUACGGGAGGCAGCAGUGGGGAAUCUUGCGCAAUGGGCGAAAGCCUGACGCAGCGACG